rnacentral:rRNA from 1 species
UACGAAGGGGGCUAGCGUUGCUCGGAAUCACUGGGCGUAAAGGGCGCGUAGGCGGACUUUUAAGUCGGGGGUGAAAGCCCAGGGCUCAACCCUGGAAUUGCCUUCGAUACUGGGAGUCUUGAGUUCGGAAGAGGUUGGUGGAACUGCGAGUGUAGAGGUGAAAUUCGUAGAUAUGGGGAGGAACACCGGUGGCGAAGGCGGCCAUCUGGACGGAUACUGACGCUGAGGAGCGAAAGCGUGGGGAGCGAACAGG